AUACGUAGGUGACAAGCGUUAUCCGGAUUUACUGGGCGUAAAGGGCGUGUAGGCGGUCUUGCAAGUCAGAAGUGAAAUUCCUGAGCUCAACUCGGGCGCUGCUUCUGAAACUGCAGGACUUGAGUGCUGGAGGGGAUAGCGGAAUUCCUAGUGGAGCGGUAAAAUGCGCAGAUAUUAGGAAGAACACCGGUGGCGAAGGCGGCUAUCGUGCCAGUAACUGACGCUGAGUCGCGAAAGCGGGGGGAGCAAACAGGAUUAAAUACCCUGUUAGUCCACGCCGUAAACGAUGAAUACUAGGUGGAGGGGGUAUCGACUCCCUCUGUGCCGCAGUUAACACAAUAAGUAUUCCGCCUGGGGAGUACGGCCGCAAGGUUGAAACUCAAAGGAAUUGACGGGG
rnacentral:rRNA from 1 species